rnacentral:rRNA from 1 species
UACAGGGGGGGCAAGCGUUGUCCGGAAUCAUUGGGCGUAAAGCGCGUGUAGGCGGUUACGUAAGUCUGCUGUGAAAGUCGGAGGCUCAACCUUCGAAAGCCGGUGGAUACUGCCGGGCUAGAGUCCGGAAGAGGCGAGUGGAACUCCUGGUGUAGCGGUGGAAUGCGCAGAUAUCAGGAAGAACACCAACGGCGAAGGCAGCUCGCUGGGACGGAACUGACGCUAAGGCGCGAAAGCGUGGGGAGCGAACAGG